rnacentral:rRNA from 1 species
GACGAACGCUGGCGGCGUGCUUAACACAUGCAAGUCGAACGAUGAAGCCGGAGCUUGCUCCGGUGGAUUAGUGGCGAACGGGUGAGUAACACGUGAGCAAUCUGCCCUUGACUCUGGGAUAACUGCGGGAAACUGUAGCUAAUACCGGAUACGACACCUUGGGGCAUCCCAGGGUGUGGAAAGAAUUUCGGUCAAGGAUGAGCUCGCGGCCUAUCAGCUAGUUGGUGAGGUAAUGGCUCACCAAGGCGACGACGGGUAGCCGGCCUGAGAGGGGGACCGGCCACCAUGGAACUGAGGCACGGUCCAGACUCCUACGGGAGGCAGCAGUGGGGAAUAUUGCACAAUGGGCGAAAGCCUGAUGCAGCAACGCCGCGUGAGGGAUGAAGGCCUUCGGGUUGUAAACCUCUUUUAGCAGGGAAGAAGCGAAAGUGACGGUACCUGCAGAAAAAGCACCGGCUAACUACGUGCCAGCCGCCGCCGUAA